CGUGUAUAACUAAAUAAAUGGGUGCCAAGUAUGAACCAAUGAUAAGGGUACUUCAUUAUUUUCUAUAUCUUCUUUGUAACCCCACAGAACAGAGGUAACUUGGCUGUUUUAAUAAUUAUUUAAAGGAUGAAGAUCUUGACUGUUACCCAUGUGACCAAGGAGAGUGUAGAACAGGCAAGGAAAGCCUGGCUGAGGCAGUUCCUGGGCCAAGACUGCUGUGGAAGGAACUCUACUGAUAUGAGCAGGGCAGUGAAUAUGCAAAGCACAGCUCCUAAAUCCAGGAUUAGUUCAUAGCCAGCGGCUAUCAGAGCCUCAGAUGGAAGAGCCAGCGGGAAGCCCCAGGCCCACCUGGCUGUAUGGGACAUUGACCCGGCACAGGGAGAAGACCCAGGUGGAUGUCGUCCUGCCCAGACCUUGUGAAGGUGCAGUGGCCUGAGCCAGGCUUCCAAGAGGACAACCGUGAUGGGCUCAGCGUGUGCGUUGCUGGGUGAGCUCUGCCUUUCCUGGUUACACUCUGAAAUACCUGUGUACCUGUGACUAAGGGCCAAACUUGGACUAGAUGAUAGGCGAUCAAAGAUGGCCUUCGUGACAGGCUGAAGUGCCUGCGAUGGCCUCAGAGAGGGGCUGGAAUGCAUGUGCUUCUCACCAAGAACAUUAGCAAGCAGAGGCUGGGUCAUUUCUGACAGCUGCUUCUCUGAGUGGAGGGCAGGGCUGGCUAGAGAAGUCCCUCAUCUCUGGUCCCACCUAAGUGGUGGGAGACGUGUUACUUUGCAGCUGACCAGAUGCCAGCUUGAAGUGGGGCUCAGGGUAACCUGCACAUCCCUGCCCGAAGGCUCUUUUAAAAAUUAUGUAGCUAAUUGCAUUCUAUUAACUUAUUACCGUAAUGGAGAGUGCAAUAAGCAGGGGCCAUGUACGUUUUCCCCAUAAAAUAACCUUAAGCUAAUGGCUAACAUUUAUUGUACCUAAUUUUUAAAAAUAUUUUUCCCAUUAAAAAAGAAAUACAUGUUUAUUAUGAAAAGCUUAAAAAAUAUUGAAAAGAACAAGUGUAACAGCAAGACUCUGCCUAGUUCCCCCACUCACAGAUCACCGUUGCCAACAUUUUGGUGGCCAGCCUCCGCCUUUUGUUUUUUUCUAU